rnacentral:sRNA from 1 species
CUUGGGCAUGGAGGGGUAUGCCUGUGAUCCUAGCUACUUGGGAAGCUGAGGGAGGUGGACUGAUUGAGCCCAAGAGUUUUUGAAGCCUACCUGGGUACCAUAGUGAGAAACCCACCCCU